CGGGGCGUAGCGCAGCCUGGUUAGCGCGCAUGCCUUGGGCGCAUGAGGUCGGAGGUUCAAAUCCUCUCGCCCCGA
rnacentral:tRNA from 1 species